UACGGAGGGUGCAAGCGUUAUCCGGAUUUACUGGGUUUAAAGGGUGUGUAGGCGGACUAUUAAGUCAGGGGUGAAAUCCCGGGGCUCAACCUCGGAACUGCCUUUGAUACUAUUAGUCUUGAAUUAUGUCGAGGUUGGCGGAAUAUAACAUGUAGCGGUGAAAUGCAUAGAUAUGUUAUAGAACACCGAUUGCGAAGGCAGCUGGCUAGACAUAUAUUGACGCUGAGGCACGAAAGCGUGGGGAUCAAACAGG
rnacentral:rRNA from 1 species